AACGAACGCUGGCGGCAUGCCUAACACAUGCAAGUCGAACGAGACCUUCGGGUCUAGUGGCGUACGGGUGCGUAACGCGUGGAACCUGCCCUUAGGUUCGGAAUAACUCCCCGAAAGGGGUGCUAAUACCGGAUAAUGUCUUCGGACCAAAGAUUUAUCGCCUUUGGAUGGGCCCGCGUUGGAUUAGCUAGUUGGUAGGGUAAAAGCCUACCAAGGCGACGAUCCAUAGCUGGUCUGAGAGGAUGAUCAGCCACACUGGGACUGAGACACGGCCCAGACUCCUACGGGAGGCAGCAGUGGGGAAUAUUGGACAAUGGGCGAAAGCCUGAUCCAGCAAUGCCGCGUGAGUGAUGAAGGCCUUAGGGUUGUAAAGCUCUUUUACCCGGGAUGAUAAUGACAGUACCGGGAGAAUAAGCUCCGGCUAACUCCGUG
rnacentral:rRNA from 1 species